rnacentral:rRNA from 1 species
AUUGAACGCUGGCGGCAGGCUUAACACAUGCAAGUCGAGCGAGCGGCGGACGGGUGAGUAAUGUCUGGGAAACUGCCUGAUGGAGGGGGAUAACUAAUGGAAACGGUAGCUAAUACCGCAUACCAUCAGAUGUGCCCAGAUGGGAUGAGCUAGUAGGUGGGGUAAAGGCUCACCUAGGCGACGAUCCCUACCGGGUCUGAGAGGAUGAAGAGCCACACUGGAACUGAGACACGGUCCAGACUCCUACGGGAGGCAUCAGUGGGGAAUAUUGCACAAUGGGCGCAAGCCUGAUGCAGCCAUGCCGCGUGUGUGAAGAAGGCCUUCGGAUUGUAAAGCACUUUCAGCGAGGAGGCGUUACUCGCAGAAGAAGCACCGGCUAACUCCGUGCCAGCAGCCGCGGUAAUUC